UGUUGCCUUCCCAGGUACCAAAUGCUAUGUAAUUGCGGCUCAUAAAGGCAGCAGACAAUAUUGCCAAGGAAACUCACUCCUGGCUGUAAAUCUUCAUAAUCAAACCCAGCAGAGCUUUGCUUUCUGGUUUGGACAGAGUGUCCCUGAGGGCAGGGCCCACCCAGAUUUUCUAGUCCUCCUUCCUUGGCAGGGAGACCCCCAACACCCUCUGGUGAGGCAGGGGCUCCUGCUGGGAUUGGGGAUGAGGGCGCCAGCCAGCAAGGGCUGGAGAGGCCAAGAAGUGACAGAAGUUACUGUCCCCACCCCAAUGCAGAGCUGAGAGAGGCAGACAAUCACUCAGAAAUCUGGAAGGGCCCUGAGAGGUUAUUCCAUCCAACCUUCUUGCUCUGCAAAUGAGGAAGUGAGGCUCAGAGAGGUGGUUUUUGCAAGGUCACACGGCUCCCAGGCCAGGGCUCUUCCUAUUUGGCCACACCAUCUCCUGGGGGUUAAGGCGUGAGCUCAAAAGAACGUCCUGAGCUGAUUCCUCCUGCAAGGGUGAGUGGCUCCCAGCUGGAGAUUUUCCUUGACUCCUGUUCUGAGGAGGACUGGCCAGGCAUGUUGUAAAACGACCCUCAGAUGUGAUCUGUCUGAUGCUUUUCUCCUGGUUAGCCUGGAGUUCUGGGUUUGGGGGAGGAAGACCGCAGAGGCAAAGUGCCAUUUUCAUCACGUCACAUCACUGGUGUAUCACAGCACUGGCCAUUGUUAGAAUCCACAUGUGUGAAGCCAGCUCCAGAGCUCUCUGAUGAUGGGGCUACAUCCCUUCCCAGCAUCUGCUUGCUUCCACACAUGCAGGUGCCAUCUCUCUCCCGUCUCUCCUGAUUCCAGAUCAUCUGACCCUGGUUCCCCAAAUGUCUGAUGCAAGCCGGCUACCUCGGUGGGAGCUGCCUUAUGGCAAGGUCUAAGUGGCAAGGAACUGAGGGAGACCUCCAGCCCACAGCCCGGGAGGCCCUGCGUCUCGUCAACAGUCAAGUGAGUGAGGUUGGAGCCCGGAGCGUACCUCCGUGGGUGAAGCUGGGAGAGGUGUGCAGCCCCAGCCAGCUCCCUGACUGUAGCCUGGCAGACCCUGGGCACAGGGCCCAGCUCAGCUGCACGUGGAGUCCUGACCCACAGCAACUGCAGGGUAAUAAAUGGGUGUUGUUUUAAGCC